UACGGAGGGUGCGAGCGUUGUUCGGAAUCACUGGGCGUAAAGGGCGCGUAGGCGGCGCGGGAAGUCAUCGGUGAAAGUUCAGGGCUCAACUCUGAAUCGGCCGGUGAUACUCUCGUGCUUGAGCACUGUAGAGGCAGGUGGAAUUCCGGGUGUAGCGGUGGAAUGCGUAGAGAUCCGGAAGAACACCGGUGGCGAAGGCGGCCUGCUGGGCAGUAGCUGACGCUGAUGCGCGACAGCGUGGGGAGCAAACAGG
rnacentral:rRNA from 1 species